rnacentral:rRNA from 1 species
UGCUUCGGAAUCUGCCCUUCAGUGGGGAAUAACCAGUCGAAAGAUUGGCUAAUACCGCAUACGAACUACGGUUGAAAGCAGGGGAUCGCAAGACCUUGCGCUGAGGAUGAGCCGAAGUCGGAUUAGCUUGUUGGUGGGGUAACGGCCUACCAAGGCGACGAUCCGUAGCUGGUCUGAGAGGACGACCAGCCACACUGGGACUGAGACACGGCCCAG